rnacentral:lncRNA from 1 species
CCGUUAUUAAAACCGGCGAAGACAUCUCUAUCUCCCCACAGGAUUCACCUCUCCCUCUUCCUCCCUCUGCCGUCGCCGCCGCAACAACUCCCGCCGUCACCGAAGCUUUAAUCGAAAAAACCGAGGAGCAAAGGUUGAGCUAUUUGGAUUCUGUGAUUGGUUUCCAUUCCUGAAAAUAACCACACAAUAUCACUAUAAAAUAUCAAGUAAAAUAUAUGGUCACAUUAAAAGGGAAAAAGAAGUCAUGAACUCACAUCCCAGGAGUGCUAUUUCUUGAAGGCAAAUUAUUUUUAAUAGAUGAUGUCCCUGGAUUUCCUCUGUUAUUUUUUAAAAAAUCUCUAAAAAAUAAUCUCAAACACACCUGUUGAAUUUGAUUCAGGUUGCUGUUGUUCUCCCCAUACACAUGGAUCAAAUACAUAUGAGGGAUGGUGAUCUCAAAGGUUGAGCUAUUUGGAUUCUGUGAUUGGUUUCCAUUC